ACACUGUUGUCUCCAAGAUCCAUAGUAAGGAGCCUAAAUCUGGCUUCCAAAUGGACUCUCAUUCCGACAUCACCGGGUGAAAGUGUUCACAACCAAAGGAGUCUUCCUUGGUGCUGCUUUGGGCAAUGGAUGGAGAACACAUGGACUGAAACCCUGUUGAGCAGCUUAGAUUUGAGUUGAUUUUUCCCCCAAUGGGUCAAAGCACAGGCCUGGGGUCAAGGAUGAAGCAGAGGAGGUGGGGUCCAGGACGAAGCAGAGGAGGUCGUGUGAGAGAUAAGGCAACCAGCAGGAAGUGGAGGCAGAGUAUGGGGAUUUUCGACUGCGACAGGCCAAGGGACAGA